CGCAGACUACGAUUGAUAUGAUCAGGUUUAUGGCUUUGUGUUAGGUUUCUUUGUUACCAUUUUCAAUCUUUCCAACUCCGAAUUCAAUUUCUUUCUAAUUCUAACUGAUCAUCGAAUCGAUUCAACCCUAGUAAGAAACCCACAUUGUCUCAUUGCCUCCAAUCUUUCGUUCGACCCAAUUUUUUCUCUAUUAGCGAAACUGAUUCGUUCUUCCUGAAUCUUGAUUAUUCGAACCCUAAUUUUUUUUUUUGGAAGAUCAUGUAUCGUCAUUUUUGGGUUUCAUGUUUCUGAACCCUAAAAAUCUUGAUUCGAUUUGAAAGUGAAAUGUAGAAAUCGAAAAGAAUUAAACGACGACGUUGGAUUCACUUCACUCUCAACCCAAAUUGUAAAGGAACCUGUUGCUCUGAGACUCACAUCCACUGGUAAAGUCACCUGAUACUGGAAGACAUUUAUCUUCACUUGAGUUGCAUUACCCUUCACAAUGAUACAUGUAACUGUUCGUAAAUGGGACCAGAAAAAGGAAAGGCUAGUCAAUGUGUAUGAGGAAGAGGAAGAUAUAGUCAAGCUGUUAAAAAUAUAGAAUUUGACCAACAUCUUGGGCCUUACAAUCAUAGUGACUAUGAAGAUUGGAAGCGAUUAUCUAAUUUCGUUACAAAGAGCAUCAUCGAAUGGCUUGAGCCCAUCGGAGGAGAAGUCAGUGUUGAUUGCGAAAAUGAUAUGUUUAGAAACACUCCAAAACAUCAAUGGAAGAAGCACCAGACAAGCAAGCAGCAGCUAAAGGUUGGUAAUUCUGAAACGUCUAUUGGCACAAACCAGAGAAAAGGAUGUUAUUAUACCUCGAUUCCACGAGUUGUAAAACGCAAGGGGAUCAGUGAACAGGAACUUCUUUGAAUCAUGACAAGAAACUCUUGUGGAAAAAAAUUAUGGAGGUUCCGAAGACUUGCUCCUUGGAGAACUGCAGUUUGCAUUAAUUGCCUUUUUGGUAUGGUCGAGAAAACACCGUUUCUUUAUAAUUUUGUUAGUCUUGUUGAAUCCACUAUGACAUUUUGCAAUGCUAUAUGGGUCAGUCGUUAGAAGCAUUUCUCCGGUGGAAAUCCUUGCUUAGCCUUCUGUUUGGCUGCACUGAAACAGUAAGUAUAUUUUUUCAGUUGUAUUGGGUUUGAAUAAUGUAUGCAUAGAUUAUUAGAUGUAAAAAAAGUUUCUUUUUGUAUGCUGAAAAUGGUUCAUUUAGAUGUGAUAACAUCGCUUUCUUAUCAACAUCUUUGGAGACGUUUAUACGAUGCACACAUCAUACACAACUGUAACAUGAUUAAUAUUAUAAUUUCCAUGGAUUAGCUAUUCAAUUUACUCAGAAGUGAGCCAUUAGUAUUCAGUUUUUUAUGAUUGUUGAACCAGUUCAUGGGGGUAAUGGGGUAUUGAUUAGCAAUUAAGCAUUAAGUAAAGUGGUUCUGUGGCAUUUGCUUACAGUUCAAUGGUUACUUGUGUUUUGUUAGACGCUGGUUUUGUCUAUGCAUCUGGCCUUUGUUCUUCUGCUGCUGUUUAAAGACGGACAUUUUAUGGCGGUACGGCCUAGGUUAUGAUUCAUAUUGUGUUUUGUUAGACGCUGGUUUUGUCUAUGCAUCUGGCUUUUGUUCUUCUGCUGCUGUUUAAAGACGGUCAGUAGAUUUUUAAUGAUAAGAGGCAUAAUUUUCUUCCUUUUUACGUAGAGUUUUGCGAUAUAUUUUUUAUAUGAACAAUUUUCACUUCUUAGGACAUUUUAUGGCGGUAGGGCCUAGGUUAUGAUUCAUAUGGACACAAGGCACUUAUUGAUUAUGGUAAGGUGCAUGAUAUUUAAUAACUUAGGUUCUAAUCAGCUUGAAGUUGUAUUAUUUCAUUAAUAAAUAUUGUUAUUAUAUGUAAAUGACUUUAUGUAAUCUUUAGCAGCCUUUCCACACGCGAACUCGGUUAUUCACCAAGGUAAACUUUAAGAAUGUUUUACUGUUUUUUUCUGUUAUGUGCAAACAAUGGAAUUAUUACAUGUUUUGCUAUUAAUUCAUCCUUCAUUGUAAUAAUUGUGAAUGUAGUAUGGGUACAAAAGGUAGCUAAAUCUGAAUUAAAAGAAUAAGCCACAUUCUUAUGGAGAAUGCCAAGUCAUUCAUAAAUUUUGUUUCAAACACAAAGUAUUCCAAUUAUAUUUAAAAUAUCCUAUAAUAUUUUGAUUGUAUGAUUUAGAUUUUAGAGUAUAUAUUUGGAGCUGUCAAACUCAUUUAAAUGAUGAAAAUUGGAACUUUGACCUUCACAUACUUUUCUUGCCACGAUUUAAUAUUUUUUACCUUAACUAUUUGUAAUGUAAGUUCAGUUAAUGUUUUUAUACGUGAAUUUGAUAGGCUCUUUAUUAGGGGUGUACAUGGGUUGGGCAAACCCACUUGACCCGGUCAAACCCACCCAACCCAACCCAAAAAAGUGGAUUGGGCCGGGUAAUUGGGUGGAUAUGGAUCUCAAAACUAGAAAACCCACUAAAAAAAUUGGGUUAUGGGCAAACCCGGACCCGGACUCAAAAACCCACUUGACCCGGUUUUGAUUUAUUUUUUAAAUGGAAACCCCAAAAGUUUUCCUACUUUUUAGCUCUUGUGCCGUUCUUUUCAUUAUUACUGAUACAAAGAAAGAGAAACCCAAAUUAAUGUAUUCCAACUUCCAAAAUAAGAAGAGUAGAUCGAUGAUGGCAAUCAAAAAGGCAAAAUCCCUAAAUCAAUUCUCUUUCUCUGACUAUAUAAUAACAAUACUCAGUCUCAGACUCUCACUCUCUCUAAUUUCUGAAAACUUCAACGGAUCACUAUCUCUGAAGUUGAUUGUCUCUCUCGCUCUCUGUUAUAGUCUCCGUUCGAUUCGAUUCAUCUUUCACAAAUGGAGAAUAUGAAUGUUGAUGAUGUUCCUAGAAAUGUUGAGGAAAAUCCAAUUCCAAUUGAUGUUGAUUCUGAUGAAGACUCACAAGUUGAAGAGGCAGACAACGCUGGAAAACCUAGACGUUCUCAUGCUUGGCUUCAUUUUCAAAAACAAGGUAAAAGGGCAAUGUGUAAUUAAUGUAAGAAGACAUAUGCUGCCGAUGGUUAGGGGUGUACGUGGGCCGGAUUGGGUUGGGUUUGGCCAAAACCAAAACCCGAACCACAUAAGGUACUCCGGAUUGGGUCCAAGAAAAUAA